rnacentral:lncRNA from 1 species
UCUCUCAAACUCUCAAACUCUCUUAUCUCAUUUCUCUUAUCUCUCUAACCUUCCCCCUCUGGGAAGGCAACACACAAACAACAAUGACAAUGCUCCCACCACCGUCCAAACCAAGAGCACUAUGAGCUUUGUCUUGUCCUCACGAGCCUAGAACACCCAACCUCACCUUGAACUUCCUUUCGGAUCGUGGGGAUCGAAACCCAAGUCGAGCGCUGUUUCGAGCCAUUUUCCAGCCAAACAACGGCGAGUUAGCCGUCGAGAAAGUUUCCAGUGACCUCCGGCACUUUUUGAACUCCAAACAGGUGCGUUUGUAAGUGGCGACCUCGUCCUCUCUAGUUUGAACGACUCUUCAGUGACAGAGUAUUGGUGAAUGAACCCCUUCCAAAAUGCAUGAUUUUAUUACUAGAAAUGCAUACAUGAAAAGUAUGAUUUUAUGAAACGUUUAUGAGUUAUCAGAUUUACGCUUCAUGAAAUAUCAUGCUUUAUCAAAAUUACGUUUAUUGAGAUGUUUAUGAACAUGGAUUUAUGAUAUGAUGUUUGAGCUAUUGAGCUAUGAUAAGAUAUAUUUUGGAAAGAUUAUGUUCGUGAUUUUUUGUGCUUACUUAGCGGGUAUUCAUACAAUGUGCCUUCGGGAGGAAGAUGUAUGUGCCUUCAGGCAGUUGAUAUAUAUGCCUUCGAGUGGGCAAUGUAUGUGCCUUCAGGCGGGAGAUGUACUUGCCUUCGGGGGGGGGGGGGGGGGGGGGCGAUGUAUGUGCCUUCGGGCGGGAGAUGUAUAUGCCUUCGGGUGGGCGAUGUAGGUGCCUUUGAGCGGGAGACGUAUGUGCCUUAGGGCGAUUAUGAUAUCAUUGCUUAGCACACUUUAUAUGAUAUAUGUUUUACAAAGGUUUUUAUGGCAUGCGAGAGUUUUCAAAAAACCUAUUACUUAUUAUGCUAUAUGAGUUUUCUAAAACUGGGGGUUAGUACGUUGGAAGAGUAGUUGUUUUAUUAAUAUUUAUAUAUAAACUUGAUCCGCUUAUAUUUUGUUUUGCGCCCCCUUCAGAACUUAGAAAUAAGGCGUACGAUCAAUCCUGGUGUUGAGGCAGUACCGUAUCAAUAUCUUUGAGUCCUCUCGAUGUAGGACCUCUUUCUUUGUAAUUGUACCUUUUUAUAAUAUUCCUUCCAUUGUAAUCUUAGUUGUACG